UUGAACAUUAUGGUCCCAGCUGUCGACGGGCCUCCUGGACACAAACACACACACACACGUGCACGCUCUCACACACACACACACACACACACACACACACACACACACACACACACACACACACACACACACACACACACACACACACACACACACACACACACACACACACACACACACACUCUCAUGCACAUCCCGAGGCAAGCGUCUGAUCAUCCGAGGCGUCGUCUUCCAGACUUUAAAUCGCCUAUUUUCAGUCUAUAAAGUGUUUAAAAUAUUCUCCGAAAGCUCAUUUUGCCUUUUUCGCUUUAUUAUUUCACACGCAGGGGAAAUUACGGCGGCAAAAGGUAUCGAUUCGCAGAUGUGUUUGCUGAUAAUGGAGUUUUUUUGUGUGUGAAAGCAAGUCAGAAGAAAAAGACACAAGGACAACACAGCUCUGAUAUCAAGUCUACCCAUUUAUUUCCAUUUUCAGAGUAAUUUAUUUUUCUCAAUGGAUUUACUAGAUCUAUCAUAUUAGCAGGGAUAAUAUCUGUGGAUAUGAGUUUGGCUGAAAUUAGAUUACACAAAAAAAGUCAGCUAAAUAUUAGUUUAUCGGAUCUCAAGACAUUUCUCUGACAAAAACAGGGUGAAACUGUUCUCUGAAGGAACUCAAAUGUGACCUUUUAAGCCCCACUGAUUGAUGACCAGAACAAAUGUACGACAGAUUAACAAGGAGACGGAUAUUUAGUGGCUGUGGGGUUUGUUUACCAGCUAAAAUAGCAUCAGAGUACAUGAUACAAAAACCGUGCCUCAUUCAACUGAGGGGUUCUCUACAAAAAUACAUCUAAGAACUGCUUUUUUCUCCUCUAAUGCAAUCAGUUCAUCACAUUAAUAAAUAAAACCUACAUCCAUGGAGAACAUGUGGUUUGUAACCCCUGGUGGUGCACGGCUACAGGGAGAGAACACGUUUGCUGUACGAGCGCCGUCACACCAGCUAGAUAUAACCCUGGUGUUUUACGCUCAGAGCUGCAAGAAGAAGAAGAAGUGGGUUUUUGUGACAGCAAGCUGCAGGUACAAGAGAAGUGAGAACACCUAUACAGUGUCACAUGAUUCAAAAUGGCAUAAAUUGACAAUAAUUUCAAUAUUUUUAGGCUGAACAGUGGAGUGUUACCUCUGAACAAGUAUCAAAAACUGACGCUUCAGAAGGAAUAUAUUGAAACGUUGGACCACAGAGUAGAAACUCAAAGCAACAAAAGUAAAUCAAGUGAAAAAGUGAGUCAAAACUGAGUCCAGCUGUGAUUUCCAGUCAGUCUAACUGCAUGAACAUGGUUCUAAAAUGAGCUGUGAACAGCAGAACAUCCAGUUUUGGACCUAUGGCCUGUGUCUAUGUCUGCAUCAUGGCUCCGCAUGGAAAAUAAUUGAAGACGGGAAGUGAAAGAUCUGAGUGUCAGACUCCACAAAGAUUAAAAAAACUAACAAACAAACAAAAAAAACAUCCAACCAAACUGACCAGGACUACCACAGUGGAUGCAUAGUCCUGACAGUGAAGCACGGAGGUGGAAGUAUGAUGAUAUGAGGCUGCAAGAGUGCAAAAGGUGAUCCAGGAAGGUCAGAGAGCAACUAAAAAUCAGUGAACAGUAGUAAUCAGGAGGUCUAGAAGAAGUCAUAGUACCACUAAUCAGGAGGUCUAGAAGGAGUCAUAGUUCCACUAAUCAGGAGGUCUAGAAGGAGCCAUAGUUCCACUAAUCAGGAGGUCUAGAAGGAGUCAUAGUACCACUAAUCAGGAGGUCUAGAAGGAGUCAUAGUUCCACUAAUCAGGAGGUCUGGAAGGAGUCAUAGUUCCACUAAUCAAGAGGUCUAGAAGGAGUCAUAGUACCACUAAUCAGGAGGUCUAGAAGGAGUCAUAGUACCACUAAUCAGGAGGUCUAGAAGGAGUCAUAGUUCCACUAAUCAGAAGGUCUAGAAGGAGUCAUAGUUCCACUAAUCAGGAGGUCUAGAAGGAGUCAUAGUACCACUAAUCAGGAGGUCUAGAAGGAGUCAUAGUUCCACUAAUCAGAGCUCCUAAAAUGACUCCACAGACAGUGAACUACUUUCUCCAUCCAGCUGUAAAAACAGACAGCAGCUGCUUCAGACUUGGUUCAGGUGUUCUCCAUGGAAACCAGAGUUAGUGUGAAGCUCAGACAGUUUGAAGGAACCUUCAGAACAUCAACCUCUAUGGACGGGGGACAAGAACUAAACCUCGUUGCUGCUCAGAACUAAACUUCCAGAUGAAAGUUUGCUGAAGAACAUGAGAAGAAG
ensembl:lncRNA